rnacentral:rRNA from 1 species
AACGAACGCUGGCGGCAGGCCUAACACAUGCAAGUCGAGCGAGACCUUCGGGUCUAGCGGCGGACGGGUGAGUAACGCGUGGGAACGUGCCCUUUGGUACGGAAUAGCCCCGGGAAACUGGGAGUAAUACCGUAUAAGCUCUUCGGAGGAAAGAUUUAUCGCCAAAAGGAUCGGCCCGCGUUGGAUUAGGUAGUUGGUGGGGUAAUGGCCUACCAAGCCGACGAUCCAUAGCUGGUUUGAGAGGAUGAUCAGCCACACUGGGACUGAGACACGGCCCAGACUCCUACGGGAGGCAGCAGUGGGGAAUCUUAGACAAUGGCGCAAGCCUGAUCUAGCCAUGCCGCGUGAGCGAUGAAGGCCUAGGGUUGUAAAGCNCUUUCAGUGGGAAGAUAAUGACUGUACCACCAGAAGAAGCCCCGGCUAAACUCCGUG